CAAGUCGAGCGAACGGAUGAGAAGCUUGCUUCUCUGAUGUUAGCGGCGGACGGGUGAGUAACACGUGGAUAACCUACCUAUAAGACUGGGAUAACUUCGGGAAACCGGAGCUAAUACCGGAUAAUAUUUUGAACCGCAUGGUUCAAAAGUGAAAGACGGUCUUGCUGUCACUUAUAGAUGGAUCCGCGCUGCAUUAGCUAGUUGGUAAGGUAACGGCUUACCAAGGCAACGAUGCAUAGCCGACCUGAGAGGGUGAUCGGCCACACUGGAACUGAGACACGGUCCAGACUCCUACGGGAGGCAGCAGUAGGGAAUCUUCCGCAAUGGGCGAAAGCCUGACGGAGCAACGCCGCGUGAGUGAUGAAGGUCUUCGGAUCGUAAAACUCUGUUAUUAGGGAAGAACAUAUGUGUAAGUAACUGUGCACAUCUUGACGGUACCUAAUCAGAAAGCCACGGCUAACUACGUGCCAGCAGCCGCGGUAAUACGUAGGUGGCAAGCGUUAUCCGGAAUUAUUGGGCGUAAAGCGCGCGUAGGCGGUUUUUUAAGUCUGAUGUGAAAGCCCACGGCUCAACCGUGGAGGGUCAUUGGAAACUGGAAAACUUGAGUGCAGAAGAGGAAAGUGGAAUUCCAUGUGUAGCGGUGAAAUGCGCAGAGAUAUGGGGGAACACCAGUGGCGAAGGCGAC
rnacentral:rRNA from 1 species